rnacentral:tRNA from 2 species
GCGCCCGUAGCUCAGGGGAUAGAGCGUCUGCCUUCUAAGCAGAGGGUCGUAUGUUCGAUUCAUACCGGGCGCGCCA